GGGUCAGUAGGUUGGUCGUGCCACCGGUACGUACUGGUCUCACUGAUUCCUCCUUCCUGAAGUACCGUAAUGCCAUUAAUUUGGUGUUGCGGGGAAACAGGACUGUUACUUUGAAAAAAUUAGAGUGUUUAAAGCAAGCUAACGCUUGAAUACAUUAGCAUGGAAUAAUGAAAUAGGACGAUCGAUCCUAUUUUGUUGGUUUCUAGGAUUGACGUA
rnacentral:rRNA from 1 species